rnacentral:rRNA from 1 species
CUUAGCCCUAAACACAGAUCUUACACUUAUAAUAAUAUCCGCCAGAGAACUACAAGCGAAAAGCUCGAAACCCUAAGGACUUGGCGGUGCUUCAAAUCAAUCUAGAGGAGCCUGUCCUAUAAUCGAUACUCCCCGUUCUACCCUACCACCUCUAGUAAACCAGCCUAUAUACCGCCGUCGCCAGCUUACCUUAUGAAAGAAACAUAGUAGGCAAAAUAGUUAUCAACUAAUACGUCAGGUCAAGGUGUAGCAUACGAAGUGGCAGAGAUGGGCUACAUUUUUUAAACAAACACACGAAUAACGUACUGAAAUACACGUUUAAAGGAGGAUUUAGUAGUAAUAUAAUUAAGAAAAUUUAUAUAAAACCUGCUCUGAAGCGCGCACACACCGCCCGUCA